rnacentral:rRNA from 1 species
UACGGAGGAUGCAAGCGUUAUCCGGAAUGAUUGGGCGUAAAGGGUCCGCAGGUGGCAAUGUGUGUCUGCUGUCAAAGAAUGAGGCUUAACCUCAUCAAGGCAGUGGAAACUACAUAGCUAGAGUACGGUCGGGGUAGAAGGAAUUCCUGGUGUAGCGGUGAAAUGCGCAGAUAUCAGGAAGAACACCCGUGGCGAAGGCGGCUCUCUGGGACGGUACUGACGCUGAGACGCGAAAGCGUGGGGAGCGAACAGG